UACAGAGGUGGCAAGCGUUGUUCGGAAUUACUGGGCGUAAAGGGCUCGUAGGCGGCCAACUAAGUCAGACGUGAAAUCCCCCGGCUUAACCUGGGAACUGCGUCUGAUACUGGGAGGCUUGAGUAUGGGAGAGGGAUGUAGAAUUCCAGGUGUAGCGGUGAAAUGCGUAGAUAUCUGGAGGAAUACCGGUGGCGAAGGCGGCAUCCUGGACCAUAACUGACGCUGAGGCGCGAAAGCUAGGGGAGCAAACGGG
rnacentral:rRNA from 1 species